AGUGAACGCUGGCGGUAGGCCUAACACAUGCAAGUCGAACGGAGCGGCGGACGGGUGAGUAAUGCCUAGGAAUCUGCCUGGUCGUGGGGGAUAACGUCCGGAAACGGGAGCUAAUCCCGCAUACUAUCAGAUGAGCCUAGGUCGGAUUAGCGAGUUGGUGGGGUAAGGGCCUACCAAGGCGACGAUCCGUAACGGGUCUGAGAGGAUGACCGGUCACACUGGAACUGAGACACGGUCCAGACUCCUACGGGAGGCAGCAGUGGGGAAUAUUGGACAAUGGGCGAAAGCCUGAUCCAGCCAUGCCGCGUGUGUGAAGAAGGUCUUCGGAUUGUAAAGCACUUUAAGUUGGGAGGCGUUACCAACAGAAUAAGCACCGGCUAACUUCGUGCCAGCCGCCGCGGUAAUAC
rnacentral:rRNA from 1 species